UGUCUUACGUAUGUACUUGUUAAGCCUUUAAGAGAAAAGUUUACAACUUAAGGAAUUAUAACAAAGAAGUAACACAUAAUAAGUUUACCUUAUUUAGUGUGUAUCAAUCGAGUUUCUGACCUAUCAGCUUUUGAUGUUAGGGUAUUGGCCUAACAUGGCUAUGACGGGUAACGGGGAAUUAGAGUUCGAUUCCGGAGAGGGAGCCUGAGAAAUAGCUACCACAUCUAAGGAAGGCAGCAGGCGCGUAAAUUACCCAAUUCUAAAGAAGAGAGGUAGUGACAAGAAAUAACAAUACAAGGCCAUUUCAUGGUUUUGUAAUUGGAAUGAUGGGAAUUUAAAACCUUCCCAAAAUUCAAUUGGAGGGCAAGUCUGGUGCCAGCAGCCGCGGUAAUUCCAGCUCCAAUAGCGUAUAUUAAAAUUGUUGCAGUUAAAACGCUCGUAGUUGAAUUUCAAAGAAUCAAUAUUUUAACUAAUGCUUUUGGUUUAAGAUGCUUAGGCCAUACCACGUAUCCGCUCUUUGCAUUCCUUAUCCCAAAUGGGUUCUUAAUAUAAAAAGGAUACUCUUUAAAAUCUCCUUUACUUUCUUGUACUGGAGAUUUUGUUACUUUGAGUAAAUUAGAGUGUUCAAAGCAAACAGUUAAAGCAUUUUACUGCGUUUGAAUACUACAGCAUGGAAUAACAAAAUUGAACAAGUCAAAACUCUGUUCUUUUUUCAUAUUUUGACU
rnacentral:rRNA from 1 species